ACAGCAGUCGCCGCGGUAAUACGGAGGAUCCAAGCGUUAUCCGGAAUCAUUGGGUUUAAAGGGUCCGUAGGCGGUCUUGUAAGUCAGUGGUGAAAGCCCAUCGCUCAACGGUGGAACGGCCAUUGAUACUGCAGGACUUGAAUUAUUGGGAAGUAACUAGAAUAUGUAGUGUAGCGGUGAAAUGCUUAGAGAUUACAUGGAAUACCAAUUGCGAAGGCAGGUUACUACCAAUUGAUUGACGCUGAUGGACGAAAGCGUGGGUAGCGAACAGGAUUAGAUACCCCGGUAGUCCCUGUCUCUUAUAC
rnacentral:rRNA from 1 species